AAGUUAUGGUGUGGACAUCGAAGAAGUAGGUCUUUAAAUCUCUCCCAACACUCAUAAAAAUGUUCACCCUCUUUCUGUGUAAAAUUUGUAAUUUCUCUACGAAGGGC
rnacentral:snoRNA from 1 species